rnacentral:rRNA from 1 species
AGUGGACGCAUCACUGGUGUUCGGGUUGUCAUGCCAAUGGCACUGCCCGGUAGCUAAAUGCGGAAGAGAUAAGUGCUGAAAGCAUCUAAGCACGAAACUUGCCCCGAGAUGAGUUCUCCCUGACUCCUUGAGAGUCCUGAAGGAACGUUGAAGACGACGACGUUGAUAGGCCGGGUGUGUAAGCGCAGCGAUGCGUUGAGCUAACCGGUACUAAUGAACCGUGAGG